AAAUCCGGUACUCGUUAAGGCUGAGCUGUGAUGGGGAGAAGACAUUGUGUCUUCGAGUCGUUGAUUUCACACUGCCGAGAAAAGCCUCUAGAUAGAAAAUAGGUGCCCGUACCGCAAACCGACACAGGUAGUCAAGAUGAGAAUUCUAAGGUGAGCGAGCGAACUCUCGUUAAGGAACUCGGCAAAAUGACCCCGUAACUUCGGGAGAAGGGGUGCUCUUUAGGGUUAACGCCCAGAAGAGCCGCAGUGAAUAGGCCCAAGCGACUGUUUAUCAAAAACACAGGUCUCUGCUAAACCGUAAGGUGAUGUAUAGGGGCUGACGCCUGCCCGGUGCUGGAAGGUUAAGAGGAGUGGUUAGCUUCUGCGAAGCUACGAAUCGAAGCCCCAGUAAACGGCGGCCGUAACUAUAACGGUCCUAAGGUAGCGAAAUUCCUUGUCGGGUAAGUUCCGACCCGCACGAAAGGCGUAACGAUUUGGGCACUGUCUCAACGAGAGACUCGGUGAAAUCAUAGUACCUGUGAAGAUGCAGGUUACCCGCGACAGGACGGAAAGACCCCGUGGAGCUUUACUGUAGCCUGAUAUUGAAAUUCGGCACAGCUUGUACAGGAUAGGUAGGAGCCUUUGAAACGUGAGCGCUAGCUUACGUGGAGGCGCUGGUGGGAUACUACCCUAGCUGUGUUGGCUUUCUAACCCGCACCACUUAUCGUGGUGGGAGACAGUGUCAGGCGGGCAGUUUGACUGGGGCGGUCGCCUCCUAAAAGGUAACGGAGGCGCUCAAAGGUUCCCUCAGAAUGGUUGGAAAUCAUUCAUAGAGUGUAAAGGCAUAAGGGAGCUUGACUGCGAGACCUACAAGUCGAGCAGGGUCGAAAGACGGACUUAGUGAUCCGGUGGUUCCGCAUGGAAGGGCCAUCGCUCAACGGAUAAAAGCUACCCCGGGGAUAACAGGCUUAUCUCCCCCAAGAGUUCACAUCGACGGGGAGGUUUGGCACCUCGAUGUCGGCUCAUCGCAUCCUGGGGCUGUAGUCGGUCCCAAGGGUUGGGCUGUUCGCCCAUUAAAGCGGUACGCGAGCUGGGUUCAGAACGUCGUGAGACAGUUCGGUCCCUAUCCGUCGUGGGCGUAGGAAAUUUGAGAGGAGCUGUCCUUAGUACGAGAGGACCGGGAUGGACAUACCUCUGGUGUACCAGUUGUCGUGCCAACGGCAUAGCUGGGUAGCUAUGUGUGGACGGGAUAAGUGCUGAAAGCAUCUAAGCAUGAAGCCCCCCUCAAGAUGAGAUUUCCCAACUUCGGUUAUAAGAUCCCUCAAAGAUGAUGAGGUUAAUAGGUUCGAGGUGGAAGCAUGGUGACAUGUGGAGCUGACGAAUACUAAUCGAUCGAAGACUUAAUCAA
rnacentral:rRNA from 1 species